rnacentral:rRNA from 1 species
ACCCUGCAUGAAGUUGGAAUUGCUAGUAAUCGCGGAUCAGCAUGCCGCGGUGAAUACGUUCCCGGGGAUUAUACACACCGCCCGUCACACCAUGAGAGUUGGGAAUACCCGAAGCCUGUGAGCUAACUUUUAGAGGCAGCAGUCGAAGGUAGAAUCAAUGAUUGGGGUGAAGUCGUAACAAGGUAAC